rnacentral:lncRNA from 1 species
GUGUGUGGGAAAAGCACCUGGCCCAAAGGGAGUCAUCCUUGAGUUUUAAAGCUAUUCUAGGAUUUGAUAAAACCAGAAUAUUUAAUCAUAUUACAUAGGAGUAUAAGCCAAGGUUGCCUUCUACCUCAUAUGACACAAGGGAUGAUAGUCUUGCUACACAAAGGAGGAGCAAGGAGCAACCUCAUCAAUUGGAGAUCAAUCAACCUUCUAAGUAAAGGAUAUAAAAUAUAUGUAAAGGAAUUACCACUCUGACUUUCAUGCACAACAAUUUACUAUUGACACAUGAGACAAUGGUAUGGGCUAAAAAAUGUAAUCAACCACUUUUUUUUUUUCUAAAACUUGAUUUUCCAAAAGCAUAUAAUAUGGUUGAUUGGGAUUUCUUAUUUCAAGGCAUGGGUGCAAUGGGAUUCUCCAAUGAAUUUAGUCUCAUGAUCCAACUAUUCUUUAUUGAUGCCAAGGCAUGUGAGAAGAUUAAUUGGACACUCUUACAACCAUUCAUAAUUGAAAGAAGAGUACAACAAGGCUACUCUUUAGCACCAUACCACUUCCUCAUUAUAGCUGAAGUUGUUAAUACAAUGAUCAUGAGAAAAGUUGAACUUGGGGACAUUAGAGGAAUAUAACUUCUAACAAUCCAUCAACAACAAAUCAUGGUCAAGUAUGCAGAUGACACAUCUUUGAGUUUGUUAGGCAAAGAAGUAAGUGUAAGCAAUACUAUCUAGAUAUAAGAAAUAUUUUUGCAUAAGCUUGGGCUUGAUAUUAAAUUAAGCGAAGUCAAGCAGGUAUUGGAAAAGUCACUACAUAUCAAGUCAACCAUAUUGGACAAAUGAAUUGGGUGUAAUUUAGACAAAUGAAGGAGAUGCAAGCAAACUAUUGGAGGCCUCAUUUGGCCUCUCUUUAACCUCUAUAGAUGUUGAUACCUUCUUAGAGAAAA